UUUAUCUAUUUUAAAUAAAACCCUAAUCUAGCUAAGUGUAUAUAAGGACUCCUAACUAUUCUUUAUAUAGACAUUAACAACGCUGAAAGAAAAAAAGAACAAAAACAUCGAAUUUCAACUGUUUGAUUCAAAUUGAUUCUUCGUUACAAGACCCGUCGACUGUUCGUACUUCAUAGGCGAACAAGAUUUAAAUUGCUUGCCAAGUUUCACGUGGAAUAGCAAGCAGUGAGUUUAUAUCUCUAUUUACCUCUUUAUUAAGCAAUUAUUAUAUUUUGUAUAUAUAUAUGUAUAAGCAGCUUUUGAACUGUUUUCGGCAUUGUGGACUUGAUUUGGAACGUGCUACUCGAUGGGCAUCAUCGGGACUGCGUGCGCACCGGUAAUGAUUAUGGUAUUGAGGUAGGUUUGAGAUACGUCUCACCUUAGUGAGGGCACCGGUGGAAGAUACGUCUCCUGGGCUCACUAUUUAUUAAGUGAUAGUCGGGGAUCGGUUAUUGAGAUACGUCUCACCGACACGACAAUGGAUUUAGAAUUGUGGUUUAGGGUUUCAUUGAUAAUCCAUAAUGAAAAUGUUUUAUUAAACGUUUUAAAGGUUUUUAACUUAAUAAAUGUAAAUGGUUAUAUAAACUCUACUCAGUAAAUCUGACCCCGUUGUUUUCCCAAAUUUUCCAGGUUUAUGAUUUGAGCUUUGGUCGAUCUCCGUUUCUUCAUUCUCGGAGGUUUUUAUUUUUCAGAAUAAAAGAGUCGAACUGUUUUAAACUCUUAGACCGCAGUAGUAGUAUCAGUUAUUCAUGUCUUAGUCUUUUAUUUAUAUUUUUGACUAUUGUUGUUGGAUUUGUCCAACUAUUACUUUAUCGCUUUUGGCAUGAUUACAGUGUUUAUGGUAUUUAUAUUAUAUUGCCAUACUGUUGGAGAUUUUUCUGAGAUAAGCGUAAUUUAAAUAUAUAUUGCUUUAUGUA